ensembl:lncRNA
AUGGAAGGUGUGUGUGUGUGUGUGUGUGUGUGUGUGGAGCUGUUCCAUGACCCCUGCAAUACAGCCCUGUGUUUCUGCUGCGUGUUAAAAUGGCACACUAUUCCCUACAUAGUGCACUACCCCUAUGGGCCCUGGUCUAAAGUAGUGCACUACCCCUAUGGGCCCUGGUCUAAAGUAGUGCACUACCCCUAUGGGUCCUGGUCUAAAGUAGUGCACUACCCCUAUGGGUCCUGGUCUAAAGUAGUGCACUACCCCUAUGGGCCCUGGUCUAAAGUAGUGCACUACCCCUAUGGGUCCUGGUCUAAAGUAGUGCACUACCCCUAUGGGCCCUGGUCUAAAGUAGUGCACUACCCCUAUGGGCCCUGGUCUAAAGUAGUGCACUACCCUAUGGGCCCUGGUCUAAAGUAGUGCACUACCCCUAUGGGUCCUGGUCUAAAGUAGUGCACUACCCCUAUGGGUCCUGGUCUAAAGUAGUGCACUACAAAGUGAUUUGGAUGCCAUGUCAGAUGCAGCCUGUCCUGUGUGUACAGGAACAGAGUCAAUUUAUUGGUAGUUUAUACAUACCAGUUUUAUUACUACUUUGUGUGAGAGAGAAAUCCAAAAUGUGUCCCCAAAAUGGCACCUCAUUCCCAAUAUAGUGCACUAAUCCUAUAGGCCCCUGGUCAAAAGUAGUGCACUAUAUAGGGAAUAGGGUUCCAUUUUUGGAUGCGAGCAAACACUUUUCCUGCCAUGUUGAAAGUCAUUUGACUUCUUUUGUUUAUUGUGGUUCUUUAAUUGUAUCCAGCCAUAGUUGUUGAUAAACACAGACCUAAUGUAAUAUUAUAAUAGUCGUGUCAGAUAUGUUGCAGAGAGAGAACACGCAAACCAGUUGUUUUUUAGAUGUAACACGGAAAUAAAAUGGUGUUUAACGUUGAUGCAGAAAUAAGCUGAUUCAAAAUGUUUUGUUUGCUUGUUUAAAGUACAAGCUCCAUGUUUCCGUGUCCCUAACACCACCCUCUUUCAACCCAAAGUAGUGUACUAUUUAGGGAAUAGGGUGCCAUUUUGAUAUGCACACCCUAAGUAUUCCAACCACCUCUUGUGUCUAAACGGAGACUGUAAAGUUCUGAAUGAUUGUUUGUUAGACGUUAUGUUGUCGUCCAAUCAUAAUGCUUCAAGAUCAAAGGAUUCACCACCAUUAAGGUUAUUUGUAUUUUUUUUUUUUGGGGGGGGGUACAGUGUUAAGUUGAAAGUGGGGUGCAGUAAGUUGUACAAAACAAUGCACAUUUAAAAUAAAUAUAUAAUGUUUUAACCUGGUGCAGUCCUGUCCCCCUGCAGCAGUUGUUGACCUGGUUGUGCCUUAACUUUGUGCUUUAAAAAAACAAAAACAAAAAACAACUGGCACUGCAUUACUGGAGAAUGUCUUGGGUUUAUUAUAGUGGUACAAUCAUUGUUUAAAGGGAACGUAAGGUCAGAAAGACAGAGCUUUAUUACAAAUUGUUUUCUUGGAAAGUAAUUUUUUUUCCCGGUCUGGCCAACACCUGGAAUGGGGUGUUUUGUAGGUGUUUGUGUCCAACAAUAUGCUUUCCUGCACCCCCACCAGAGUACGUCCCCAAAUGGCACCCUAUUCCCUAUAUAGUGCACUACUUUUGACUCGAGCCCUAUGGUGAAUGGGGUGCCAUUUGGGACUUAACCAGUAUUUCUUUUAAAUUCAAGUCAGGUUGUUGUUUGGAUAGUCCAUUUUUAAUGUUUAGAUACUUUAUGUGCUUACUCUCAUUCCCAUUACAGAAUGACCUUUACAUUCACUUUAAACAAUUGUAUUCCACUGCACAGAGCUGAAUAUGUACAAAAUAAACAACGUUCAAAAUGGAAGCCAGUUUUUUGCUGACUGUACUUUCCUACGUGGUGCAUCAUGGGUAAUGGUAAUCUUUUUAUAUUUUUGUAAUAUUGUCACCAACCUGAUGUUGAAUACCAGUGAUGCACCCGAAGGUUGUUUUUCUCAUGAGAAACUAAGUAAUGUAUAACAAAUUAUUUUAAUUAUAAGAAACUGUAUAUAAGACUGUAUAAAGUGAGUGAAUGAAUGUACAUGUUUGGUCUGUGUGCGGCUUACAAAAAACGUUUUCCAGAAAUCCCGGGUUGGAGGAUUUUUGGUAUUUUCUGCUUAUUCCCUCUUAAUUCCGUGUAUCUUCCUACCGGCGUUUCUGGAAAUGUGGGUAAAGUUUCCAGAAUUCUCUAAACCUAUCUGUGUGGCACUUCUCUACGGUCCAAGGUGACGCUUUCUGCUUCAACUAUCAGCUUCUCCCCUAAAUGACGUUUCCUUCUCUGAUUUAUGUAUUUUAUGUAAACAUUGUACAUUUUAUAUGCAGAAGCCGUUUUAAUUUCUAUUGUAUCGUUCAGAUUGACCUUUCACGACCCCCCCCCCCCCUUCAAGCCAGAUGAAGCUAAAGUUGUCCAAUAAUGUCCAUGACAUUUAAAAGGUUCAGAUGUUUUUAAUGUAAUUUUGUCACUUAAUUGUCUUGUAAAAAUGGCUCUGAUUAAAGUGUUUUUUUUCCUCACUGCUCUACAUAA